rnacentral:rRNA from 1 species
AGUGAACGCUGGCGGUAGGCCUAACACAUGCAAGUCGAACGGCAGCACAGUAAGAGCUUGCUCUUACGGGUGGCGAGUGGCGGACGGGGGGGGAAUCAUUGGAAACCUCCUUUUUCGUGGGGGUUAACGAGGGGAACCUAACGCUAUUACGCCAAACGACCUCGGGUGAAAGCCAGGGGACCUUCGAACCUGGCGCGAUGGAAUAAGCGGAUGUCGGAUUAGCUAGUUGGCGGGGUAAAGGCCCACCAAGGCGACGAUCCGUAGCUGGUCUGAGAGGAUGAUCAGCCACACUGGAACUGAGACACGGUCCAGACUCCUACGGGAGGCAGCAGUGGGGAAUAUUGGACAAUGGGCGCAAGCCUGAUCCAGCCAUACCGCGUGGGUGAAGAAGGCCUUCGGGUUGUAAAGCCCUUUUGUUGGGAAAGAAAAGCAGCAGGUUAAUACCCCGCUGUUCUGACGGUACCCAAAGAAUAAGCACCGGCUAACUUCGUG